AUGACGGGAUUCCUCCUGGCUAUCUGUUUUGGGGGGCUCCUCAGCCUUAUUCCCCUCAGAAAGGUUUUGGUGGUCGAUUACAAACUAACCUACCCCAGUGGGACAGCAACUGCUGUUCUUAUUAAUGGGUUUCAUACCCCCAAGGGAGACAAGAAUGCAAAGAAGCAAGUCCAUGGGUUCCUAAAAUACUUCGGGAUCAGCUUUAUGUGGAGCUUCUUUCAAUGGUUCUACACUGGAGGCCCUGUUUGCGGUUUUGUGCAGUUCCCUACUUUUGGUCUCAAGGCUUGGAAACAAACGUUCUUCUUUGACUUUAGCCUCACGUAUGUGGGUGCGGGAAUGAUUUGCUCACACCUAGUGAACCUCUCCACUCUCUUGGGUGCAGUUCUUUCAUGGGGGAUAAUGUGGCCACUCAUUAGCAAACAGAAGGGGGUUUGGUACCCGGCAGAUGUACCAUCAAGCAGCAUGAAAAGCUUGUACGGUUACAAGGCCUUCUUUUGUGUAGCUCUAAUAAUUGGAGAUGGCCUUUACCAAUUCUUGAAAGUCACAUAUGUCACUAGUAAAAGCCUACAUCAACGAUUAAACAACAAAGUUGUUACCAACAAAGUGACAAAUAGGGAUGGUAUGGCUUCACUAGAGGAAAUCCAGCGCGAUGAGAUUUUCAAGAGUGACAACAUACCCUCAUGGAUGGCAUACACUGGAUACGUCGUGCUUAGCAUCAUCUCAUCAAUCAGCAUACCCCUGAUGUUCCGUCAGAUAAAGUGGUACUAUGUGAUAGUAGCAUAUCUCCUUGCACCUGUGCUCGGGUUCUCCAAUUCCUACGGAGCAGGUCUCACUGACAUCAACAUGGCCUACAACUACGGCAAGAUCGCCCUCUUCAUCUUCGCAGCCUGGGCUGGCAAGAAAAAUGGUGUAAUUGCCGGCCUGGUUGGUGGUACGCUUGUGAAGCAGUUGGUCCUGAUGUCUGCCGAAUUGAUGCAUGACUUGAAGACGAGUUAUCUCACGUCAACAUCCCCAAGAUCCAUGCUUGUGGCACAGGCUAUCGGGACGGGCAUGGGCUGCAUCGUCUCACCCCUCACCUUCAUGCUCUUCUACAAGGCAUUUGAUGUUGGGAACCCAGAUGGCUAUUGGAAGGCGCCGUAUGCACUCAUAUACCGUAGUAUGGUGAUUCUCGGUGUGGAAGGCUUCUCAGCUUUGCCAAAGCACUGCCUCUCAAUCUCGGCUGGAAUUUUUGCAUUUGCGAUGCUUCUGAGUAUUGCAAGGGAUAUCCUACCACGCAGGUAUGCCAAGUAUGUUCCACUACCGAUGGCAAUGGCGGUGCCUUUCCUUGUAGGUGGGAGCUUUGCCAUUGACAUGUGCAUUGGGAGUUUAGUGGUAUUUGUGUGGGAGAAGAUGAACAAGAAGGAGGCUGCCAUCCAAGUGCCUGCUGUUGCAUCCGGCUUGAUAUGCGGGGAUGGCAUAUGGGUAUUCCCAUCUUCCCUACUUGCUCUUGCCAAGAUUAACCCUCCAAUCUGCAUGAAGUUCACUCCUGCCAGCUAG
rnacentral:rRNA from 1 species